AAUGCCUAGGAAUCUGCCUGGUAGUGGGGGACAACGUUUCGAAAGGAACGCUAAUACCGCAUACGUCCUACGGGAGAAAGCAGGGGACCUUCGGGCCUUGCGCUAUCAGAUGAGCCUAGGUCGGAUUAGCUAGUUGGUGAGGUAAUGGCUCACCAAGGCGACGAUCCGUAACUGGUCUGAGAGGAUGAUCAGUCACACUGGAACUGAGACACGGUCCAGACUCCUACGGGAGGCAGCAGUGGGGAAUAUUGGACAAUGGGCGAAAGCCUGAUCCAGCCAUGCCGCGUGUGUGAAGAAGGUCUUCGGAUUGUAAAGCACUUUAAGUUGGGAGGAAGGGCAGUAAGAUAAUACCUUGCUGUUUUGACGUUACCGACAGAAUAAGCACCGGCUAACUCUGUGCCAGCAGCCGCGGUAAUACAGAGGGUGCAAGCGUUAAUCGGAAUUACUGGGCGUAAAGCGCGCGUAGGUGGUUUGUUAAGUUGGAUGUGAAAGCCCCGGGCUCAACCUGGGAACUGCAUC
rnacentral:rRNA from 1 species